UACAGAGGGGGCAAGCGUUAUUCGGAAUUAUUGGGCGUAAAGGGCGCGUAGGCGGCUUUUCAAAUGACGGGUGAAAUCCCUCGGCUUAACCGAGGAACUGCCUGUCAGACUGGAAGGCUUGAGACCGGGAGAGGUGAGUGGAAUUCCCAGUGUAGCGGUGAAAUGCGUAGAUAUUGGGAGGAACACCAGUGGCGAAGGCGGCUCACUGGACCGGAACUGACGCUGAGGCGCGAAAGCGUGGGGAGCAAACAGG
rnacentral:rRNA from 1 species